GUCGCGACUCCUCCUUGCCCGGCCCGGCCACGCCGAGGCGCAUGAGUCUCGCUCCGGCGGCAACCUCCCGGUGCAUCCCGGUCUCGGGGACUCGAAGCUCUCUAGGGUCGACCCACUUCCGGUCGCGAUCGACUUCGCAUAUCGAUUUCGCGCCUAUUUCGAGUUUUAUCGCCCAGCGUCCUGUUUUAGUGAGCUCUGCCGCCGAAACAAAGUGUCGUUCAGCGUGAAAAAGACUGGUAAAGGGGUAUUUGUCGGCGAGAUGGAUAAGAUCGAGGCGGGGCGGAAGGUUUUAAUUGGCCGCGAGGAGUUGCUGUACUUUUGACGGCGUUCCGAAACAGUUGUUGUUCUGCAACGUACCGCGGCGGCUGCAAAGACAGGGACACCAUUUUAGAACGCGCCCUCGGCGGACUCAGCGGGGGGUGACUGACAAACAACGUCGCCACACGUUGAUGCAACGACUGCCCCCUUUGCACGCAUGAUGCAAAAGAGCAGUCAGUAACUGCACACCGCAAGGAGCUGCAUCGACUAUCGACCCUCGAUGUCCGGAACAUAGGAUGCUGGGCUGCCGCCAGCACUGCUUCACCACGGCGCCGGGCGUCGGCGGCGACCCCUGGAG